rnacentral:SRP_RNA from 1 species
GGCCAGUUCCCGCGCAAUCGAGACUCGCGAACCCCGUCAGGACCGGAAGGUAGCAGCGGUCAGCGGUCACCUCGAUGUGCCGCGGACUCAACUGGCUCGA